AGAUUGAACGCUGGCGGCGUGCCUAACACAUGCAAGUCGAGCGGUAACAGGUGUAGCAAUACAUGCUGACGAGCGGCGAACGGGUGAGUAAUGCUUUGGAAUCUUCCCAGUAGUGGGGAAUAACCAGUCGAAAGAUUGGCUAAUACCGCAUACGUCUGUAAAGGGAAAGCGGGGGCUCGUAAGACCUCGCGCUAUUGGAUGAGCCAAAAGUCGGAUUAGCUAGUUGGUGGGGUAAUGGCCUACCAAGGCGACAAUCCGUAGCUGGUCUGAGAGGACGACCAGCCACACCGGAACUGAGACACGGUCCGGACUCCUACGGGAGGCAGCAGUGGGGAAUAUUGGACAAUGGGCGAAAGCCUGAUCCAGCCAUGCCGCGUGAGUGAUGAAGGCCUUAGGGUUGUAAAGCUCUUUGUCAGGGAAGAUAAUGACGGUACCUGAAGAAUAAGCACCGGCUAACGUUCGUGCCAGCAGCCGC
rnacentral:rRNA from 1 species